UUAGGAAUCUUCCACAAUGGGCGAAAGCCUGAUGGAGCAACGCCGCGUGCAGGAUGAAGGCCUUCGGGUCGUAAACUGCUUUUGUUAGUGAAGAAUAUGACGGUAACUAACGAAUAAGGAUCGGCUAACUCCGUGCCAGCAGCCGCGGUCAGACGGAGGAUCCGAGCGUUAUCCGGAGUGACUGGGCGUAAAGAGUUGCGUAGGUGGUUUGUUAAGCGGAUAGUGAAAUCGUGUGGCUCAACCAUACGGCUAUUAUCCGAACUGGCAAACUUGAGAGCGAGAGAGGUAGCUGGAAUUCCUAGUGUAGGGGUGAAAUCCGUAGAUAUUAGGAAGAACACCAAUGGCGUAAGCAGGCUACUGGCUCGUUUCUGACACUAAGGCACGAAAGCGUGGGGAGCGAACCGGAUUAGAUACCCGGGUAGUCCACGCCGUAAACGAUGGAUGCUAGCUGUUGGGUGCUCGACCCAUCCAGUAGCGAAGCUAACGCGUUAAGCAUCCCGCCUGGGGAGUACGGUCGCAAGAUUAA
rnacentral:rRNA from 1 species